CGAGAGUUUGAUCAUGGCUCAGGAUGAACGCUAGCUACAGGCUUAACACAUGCAAGUCGAGGGGCAUCAGGAAUCUAGCUUGCUAGAUUUGCUGGCGACCGGCGCACGGGUGAGUGACGCGUAUCCAACCUUCCCCUUAGUAGGGCAUAGCCCGGCGAAAGUCGGAUUAAUACCCUAUGUUAUCCGAAGAAGACAUCUGAAUUGGAUUAAAGAUUUAUCGCUAAGGGAUGGGGAUGCGUCCGAUUAGGUGUUGGCGGGUAACGGCCCACCAAGCCUUCGAUCGGUAGGGGUUCUGAGAGGAAGGUCCCCCACACUGGUACUGAGACACGGACCAGACUCCUACGGGAGGCAGCAGUGAGGAAUAUUGGUCAAUGGGCGCGAGCCUGAACCAGCCAAGUAGCGUGCAAGGAUGACGGCCCUAUGGGUUGUAAACUGCUUUUAUGCGGGGAUAAAGUGCGCCACGUGUGGUGUUUUGUAGGUACCGCAUGAAUAAGGACCGGCUAAUUCCGUGCCAGCAGCUGC
rnacentral:rRNA from 1 species